UUUGGUUCCUGCUCCACCGAAAGGCCAGGCAUGGUGGUGUGUGACUGUAAACCCUGCAAUGUGAGGAGGCUGAGGCGGGAGGAUUAUGACAUAGUGAGACACUAACUUAAAACAACAAAACCAAACCAAAAGCAUAGUGACAGUGGAAAUGGAAACAAAGGGACUAAUCUGAAAACGUUAUGGAAAAAAAUGAACAAGAUGGCAGCCAAGUAGAUAUCAAAGUAGGAAAAGACGCUGAAAAUUCUCACUAGGGAAGAUGGUGACAAAUGGAUCUGGCGAAGGAAAAAGGCAGAAGAACAGGUUUGGGAGUGAAGGAGGGCACCAAGAGGUCCCACUGCAAUAUGGUGUCACGAGAAACACUGACACUGGUAACUCCUUAGAAGUAGGACAGAGUUGAAGAACUUACUUUUCGUUGUAUACCCUCGUAUAAUCCCCUGGGCCCAGAAGAUGUCUGGUGAGUGAUGGGAGCUCGAUAAACCUUCGUGGAAGAAUGAAGUACAAAUCAAGGCACUCAAGAUUAUUGGACAAAGAGGUUUUUGAAGUCCAAAAUGAGGCAGAAACAUAACAAUGCCCAGUAAAUUUGGGGUAAAGGAAUGAA